AUUGUAUUUUAAAAGACAAGUGAGGUUGGAUUUACUCUAUGGCUAAAAAUCUUGUAACCAUUUUCCUUAAAGAGGGGGUUUGUUCGUAUGAGUUCCAUCUACUGAAGCAAGAAAAACAUCCAUGUCAUUGCAGUUACUUUAAUUAUGUAGGAAUACUAACAGGGCCUCCUUUAAAAUCCAGGGAACAUGACAGAAUCAAAUUAUUGGCCCUUUCUUUAGGCUCUACAAAGUGGCUCCCCACCAGCCGCAGUUGUCCUCUCAUAGAAACAAAGAGUUCCAGAACUCAGAGUCAUUUUAUGCUGCCUAAAGAGAGAGGUAGGUCUCUUCUGAUAGCUUUUGGGAAGGAGAGAGGGUAUUCUCAUUCACAGAAACCCGCAAACAUCUGUUGUCAUCAUGUGAGCUCUGACUGGGUAACAUGCUCCUCUCUGAGCCAAUCACUGAGGCCAAUGGGAUCAGAUAUGAGUUUUGACGGGAGCCAGCCAGGGCUUGUUUCUGGAGUUGAGGAUAAGAACAUUUUCAUCCAUGUAUACAAUGGGAACCUCCUGGAAGGUCCUCCAGGGAAAAAUCAUUACAUGAAGGAGGGGACAUGGAAACUGGAGAAUAAACAUCCAUAGCAAAUGUUUAUGACAUAGUAUUAAAUAAAUAACAGUAACCAGGAUUUGAAAAAGCA
rnacentral:lncRNA from 1 species